CAUAUCAAUAAGCGGAGGAAAAGAAACUAACAAGGAUUCCCCUAGUAACGGCGAGUGAAGCGGGAAGAGCUCAAAUUUGAAAUCUGGCGGCAUCCUGUCGUCCGAGUUGUAAUCUAUAGAAGUGUUUUCCGCGUCGGACCAUGUACAAGUCCCUUGGAACAGGGCGUCAUAGAGGGUGAGAAUCCCGUCCUUGACAUGAUCUCCGGUGCUAUGUGAUACACUUUCAACGAGUCGAGUUGUUUGGGAAUGCAGCUCAAAAUGGGUGGUGAAUUCCAUCUAAAGCUAAAUAUUGGCGAGAGACCGAUAGCGAACAAGUACCGUGAGGGAAAGAUGAAAAGCACUUUGGAAAGAGAGUUAAACAGUACGUGAAAUUGUUGAAAGGGAAACGAUUGAAGUCAGUCAUGCUCUUUGGGUUAAGCCUUUCGGGGUGUAUUCCAUUGAGUGGGGUCAACAUCAGUUUUGACCGCUGGAAAAAGGCACGAGGAAGGUAGCACUCUCGGGUGAACUUAUAGCCUCGCGUCAUAUACAGUGGUUGGGACUGAGGAACGCAGCAUGCCUUAUGGCCGGGAUUCGUCCACGUACAUGCUUAGGAUGUUGACAUAAUGGCUUUAAACGACCCGUCUUGAAACACGGACCA
rnacentral:rRNA from 1 species